CCUACGGGAGGCAGCAGUGAGGAAUAUUGGUCAAUGGGCGAGAGCCUGAACCAGCCAAGUCGCGUGAAGGAUGAAGGAUCUAUGGUUUGUAAACUUCUUUUAUAUGGGAAUAAAGUGAGGAACGUGUUCCUUUUUGUAUGUACCAUAUGAAUAAGCAUCGGCUAACUCCGUGCCAGCAGCCGCGGUAAUACGGAGGAUGCGAGCGUUAUCCGGAUUUAUUGGGUUUAAAGGGUGCGUAGGUGGUUAAUUAAGUCAGCGGUGAAAGUUUGUGGCUCAACCAUAAAAUUGCCGUUGAAACUGGGUGACUUGAGUAAAGUUGAGGUAGGCGGAAUGCGUGGUGUAGCAGUGAAAUGCAUAGAUAUCACGCAGAACUCCGAUUGCGAAGGCAGCUUACUAAACUAUAACUGACACUGAAGCACGAAAGCGUGGGGAUCAAACAGGAUUAGAUACCCCAGUAGUC
rnacentral:rRNA from 1 species